rnacentral:rRNA from 1 species
AUUGGAGGGCAAGUCUGGUGCCAGCAGCCGCGGUAAUUCCAGCUCCAAUAGCGUAUAUUAAAGUUGUUGCAGUUAAAAAGCUCGUAGUUGAUUUUCUGUUAAUUUUUAUGUAUAAUAUUGCGAUAUUUACAUAAUAUUAACAUAAUUCACAUUACUUUACAGUAUGUGGAAUUUUACUUUGAGAAAAUUAGAGUGCUUAAAGCAGGCUAUUGCCUUGAAUACUCCAGCAUGGAAUAAUAUUAAGGAUUUUUAUUCUUCUUAUUGGUUCUAGAAUAAAAAUAAUGAUUAAUAGGAACAGUUGGGGGCAUUUGUAUUUAACAGUUAGAGGUGAAAUUCUUAGAUUUGUUAAAGACAAACUACUGCGAAAGCAUUUGCCAAGGAUGUUUUCAUUAAUCAAGAACGAAAGUUAGGGGAUCGAAGACGAUCAGAUACCGUCGUAGUCUUAACCAUAAACUAUGCCAACUAGAGAUUGGAGGUUGUUCCUUACUCCUUCAAAGACAAACUAGUGCGAAAGCAUUUGCCAAGGAUGUUUUCAUUAAUCAAGAACGAAAGUUAGGGGAUCGAAGACGAUCAGAUACCGUCGUAGUCUUAACCAUAAACUAUGCCAACUAGAGAUUGGAGGUUGUUCCUUACUCCUUC